UUAUACUUUAAAAAGGGGACAGUGUUCCGUCAUCAGGCCGUCCGUCGUCUCCUUCGUCCAACGUCUGCACGCGACGCUCGUUGGUUGCCAUUUUUCAUUUUAGUUGAAAGUUGGUAAUCAACCUGCACCUUGCAGUCGGCAUCUCACUGUCCACCCAAACCCCUCUUUCCUCUAACCGCCGGUGGGCGACGCAAGACGCAGCGGUCGCCGGAGGGAAUCCCCUAUGCAACCACCCCUGCUUCCUGCCUCCAUGGAUCCGGGGCCAGCCGCCACCAUGCAUCCCAGGUCCCAGCUCUCCACCGCCAUGGGUCCGGAGCCAGCUGCCACCAUGGAUCCCAGGUCCCAGCUCUCCACCGCCAUGGAUCCAGGCCCAGCUAAGACCAAAUCGGCGGUACAGACCUCCUCCUCACGGUGAUGACGACGACCAAGAAGCUGAAAUACUAGGGCAUCGGAAGGAUUGAUCUUGGCGUGGGAGGCCGAUUUGGUCACCACCGCUGGGACAAUGGCGACGGUCAUGACGGCGAAGAAGUCGUUGCAGCCGGCGUGCGGAUCCGGCUCCACGCAGGCAACCUGGACGCGCGGGCGUCAUCUCUGCAGUUCCAUCCAGGAUCUGCGCCCGUUACCCCCCGCUGCACGAUCACGAAUGCGCUUCCAUCUCGUUGAAGACCUCACUGCGAUGAGUCACCGCUAUUCUCCUCCAACCUCUUCUCACAAGGGGUUGUGAUCUAAGCCAUGCAUGAAAAAGUAUGGUAAGCAGUCAAGCAUGGAUGUGGAUACUACACUAGCAGGACACCAAAGAACUAUAGAGAACAUGCGAAGAUGUGGUGCAAUAUGUUCCAUCAUACUGUCUUUCACCAAUUGGCAUGCUCAUUUUUUCUUCUUAUACAUUGAAAGUGUAGAUGUCACAUGAAAAGGAAUCAACAAGGCUGAAUAAUGCAAUUGUAAUUGGGGUCGAAAGCGUCAAAGUUUUGGACAAUGCUGAAAUUAAUCCAUGCUGAGUUUGUCAAA